rnacentral:rRNA from 1 species
AUUGAACGCUGGCGGCAGGCCUAACACAUGCAAGUCGAACGAGUGGCGGACGGGUGCGUAAUGUCUGGGAAACUGCCCGAUGGAGGGGGCUAACUACUGGAAACGGUAGCUAAUACCGCAUACCAUCGGAUGUGCCCAGAUGGGAUUAGCUAGUAGGUGGGGUAACGGCUCACCAAGGACACGAUCCCUAGCUGGGAUGAGAGGAGGACCAGCCACACGGGAACUGAGACACGGGCCAGACGCCUACGGGAGGCAGCAGUGGGGAAUAUUGGACAAUGGGCGAAAGCCUGAUGCAGCCAUGCCGCGUGUAUGAAGAAGGCCUUCGGGUUGUAAAGUACUUUCAGCGAGGAGGCGUUACUCGCAGAAGAAGCACCGGCUAACUACGUGCCAGCAGCCGCGGUAAUUC